GUCAACUACCCCGCCGUGAACGACGGGGCUUGUAGAGAGCACCCUACACGCCAGGUUGACCAGGGAAAGCGGUAACCAACCCGCUACGUUUACCACAGGUCGUUAAGACCCACUUCGGUGUGCUUCCUCAGCACCGGACACUGGAAAACUGGAAUCACGCUGGCGAAAGGUAAAGCGCCGAAGGUUUCAGUUGCCGCGCAAGCGGGAGCCGGUGGUAGACAUUCCCGAGGGGAGAGAGGUUUCGGCCUCCGACACCAGACCCGUAAGGGUU
rnacentral:ncRNA from 1 species